GUCCGCCAGAAAAUUACGAGCGAAAGCCUAAAACUCAAAAGACUUGACGGUGUCCCAACCUACCUAGAGGAGCCUGUUCCAUAAUCGAUAACCCCCGAUAAACCUAACCACCCCUUGAAAUAUCAGCCUAUAUACCGCCGUCGACAGCCCACCUUCUAAAAGAAACAAAGCAGGCUAAAUAGAAUAUCUCUAAAAAGUCAGGUCAAGGUGUAGCUAAUGGGAUGGAGACAAUGGGCUACAUUUUUUAAAAUAAAAUAUACGAAUUAGUAUUUUGAAACAAAACUAUAAAGGUGGAUUUAGCAGUAAGUCAAAAAAUAAUACUUG
rnacentral:rRNA from 1 species